rnacentral:rRNA from 1 species
CAGUAGCCGCGGUAAUACGGAGGGGGCUAGCGUUGUUCGGAAUUACUGGGCGUAAAGCGCACGUAGGCGGCUUGGUGAGUUAGAGGUGAAAGCCUGGAGCUCAACUCCAGAAUUGCCUUUAAGACUGCCGAGCUAGCAGGUGAGAGAGGUAAGUGGAAUUCCGAGUGUAGAGGUGAAAUUCGUAGAUAUUCGGAAGAACACCAGUGGCGAAGGCGGCUUACUGGCUCAUACUGGACGCUGAGGUGCGAAAGCGUGGGGAGCAAACAGGAUUAGAUACCCCCGUAGUCCCUGUCUCUUUACC